GAGCAUGUACUCCGAGGGUUCCAACGUGGACAUGGACUGGGGGAUGGUGGGGCUGCCCAGCCUGGCCGGCCUCCAGCUGCUGGACCAGCCGGACCCAGACGUGUUCCUGGAGGGGGUCUGCUGCCAGGAGGCCCAGUGUCCCCUACACAAGGGCUCCGGUGAGGUCAGAGGGGGGGGGGGGGGGAAACACCAAUGUCUGGGAUCAACCUGCUUACACAUUUACAGUUUUAUUAACCUUUACAUUCAGGCCAUUCAGUGUACUUCUCUAGUGGGUUUCUUCAGUGUGUGUUUCUCUAGUGUGCGUUGUUCUAGUUGUGUGUCGCUCCAGUGUGUGUAGCUCUAGUGUGUCGCUCUAUUGUGCGUCGCACUGGUGUGUUGCUCUGAUGUGCGUUGCUCUAGUGUGCGUUGCUCUAGUGUGCGUCGCUCUGGUGUGUUGCUCUGAUGUGCGUUGCUCCAGUGUGUGUCACUCUAUUGUGUGUCGCUCUAUUGUGCGUCGCUCUGGUGUGUUGCUCUGAUAUGCGUCGCUCCAGUGUGUGUCUGAGUGCCGCCCUGCCCUUUCUGCGGUUCCUCUUUCUCAUGAACCACAUGAGGAAGGAAGUUACACCUAAGAGACACAUUUCACACCCUGAUGAUCAGACAUCCUAGGCAUCUUCAUCAAGCGCUGAAAAUACGAGCCGCAUUCAUACACAUGAUAGUAUGACUAUCGUGUUGGCAUUACACUUCAUUCAGACAUUCAGAAUAUAAAUAAACGCCCGCCGCCGAUAUACUGGCAGUGGGUUGUAGAGUUUAACAAUACGAUAGACCCCCUGGUGCUUUUAGCUCCUGUAGAGAGUCUACUGUUUCCUAUGAGCAUCUAUUGUGAAAAUGACCAUUCAUUGACGUGCUCACUCUGAAAUCCGCAGUCUCAUCCUGCUGUCAUGAGGACGAGGUUUUCUCAGAGGGCCUUCCCCCACCUGUCCCCCGUAAGAAGCUGGUGCGCGCCAUGUCGAUGCCCGAGGGGUGCACCCCGCCUACUGCCCCACAACGGCCACCUAGGCCCCCCGUGUCGGGACUGAAUAAACAGGUCACCGACCCACAAUGCUUCGACAACCCGCUCUACAUGUUGUCGCCACUGGAGGGCGCCAUUUCCCCGGAGCGCAGUGAAGCGCAGACAGCAGCCACAGCGAAUCCGCUUCUAUCGUCCGACCCCAGCAGUGACACCACGCCCCUCUCCAAACUGUCGUUUGACACACCGGACGAGCAGGUGCUGCCGUACCUGUCGAGCGAGGCCGCGGGGGUUAUCAUCGCGCAGAGACAUCUGUUGUUCCUCCGGAAAGCUGCGGACGCAUUGGAAUCCGACCUUUUGAUGCUAGGGGAGGCUGGCGGGUUGUCAUACUCACCGGAGAACUUCCAGCUGUGUGACGGAUAUGAGCCCAGGCAGAUAGGAGAUGACGUCUACAUCAAACUGCACUGCAACAAGCUUCCAAACAAAGUACUGGGUGCAAGGGUGUACAAUCCAGAUAACCAUUCGGCCCACUCCGUCCCCCAGUCGCCGCACGUCAACCUGCGACAAGUCCUCAUUAAUUUCUCACCUAGCAGAACACAAGAGACAGCAGCACAGCCAGACUGCACACCUCCAAUGCGGCCACUGGGUGGCAUUAGUGAGUUUGUUGACAGCCAACUGGUUUCCCCCAUAAAUAACUCUCCGACUAUUAUAGAGUUAUUGGAGAGGGGACAUGCUGUGAGUGUUGAAAGAGAUUUUCCUCAAGCCACACUAGGGGACUUCUUUCAGGGCCGCUGUGCCAAUCAAACCUCUGAUCCCGCGCUAUAUGCGAAACAGCUGUGUCUCCUGUUGCUGCAGGUGGCCACAGGCCUACAGCCGCUGUGCAGUAACGGAGCAAUGUACACAGAGUUAAGACCGUCCAAUGUUUUCCUUGUGUGGCCCAGUAGGGCGCCAGCCGCGUCCGACAGAGCAGAAAGUAGAAUGGACAAAGAACGAGCCGCGGUUCAGACGCACUGGGAGAGAAUAGGAGCGCCUCGCGUGGUUCUCAACAACACACCCUAUAGGGCCUCUUCCAAACAUCACACCGUGUCCUCCACCAACGCCCAGAUCGGAGGGCUGAUUCUCCAAGGCCUCUCCUCUGUCAAACGGGGCUCGCUUCCAAAAUCCACCAGCGAUCCUUACACUGAGAGACUGCUGGAUCUGGCGGGAUGGCUUCAGGACGAGAGCGCCGCGCUGCCGCUGUCACACACGAAGACCAUCCUCCAAGCCCUCCUCUGGGGGCCCCGGGCCCAGCUCUUCACCUUCCACAUCGGCUCGGCCACGUCCACCAUGAACUCCUGGCUGACCAUCAGCCGCAGCUUGCUGGUGCUGAAGAUGGCCGAGAGGGGCCUUCUCCAGGCCGGGCCGCCCAUGGACUGGGAGGCGUGCCUCCGCCUCAGGUACUUUGCGUCCUGUGACGCCGAGGAGUUGAGCAGGGCCUCCGAGCGCCUAGCGCUCCUCCGAAAGCUAUGA
rnacentral:lncRNA from 1 species